GUGCCAGCAGCCGCGGUAAUACGGAGGGUGCGAGCGUUGUCCGGAAUCAUUGGGCGUAAAGGGCGCGUAGGUGGCUCCGCAAGCGUGCGGUGAAAGUCGGGGGCUCAACCCCUGAUCGGCCGUGCGAACUGGGGGGCUGGAGCACUGUAGAGGCAGGCGGAAUUCCGGGUGUAGCGGUGGAAUGCGUAGAGAUCCGGAAGAACACCGGUGGCGAAGGCGGCCUGCUGGGCAGUAGCCGAAAGGCUUUCAAGCUGACACUGAGGCGCGACAGCGUGGGGAGCAAACAGGAUUAGAUACCCUGGUAGUCC
rnacentral:rRNA from 1 species